UGGGAACCUUCCCUAUGGUUCGGAAUAGCUCAGGGAAACUUGGGGUAAUACCGGAUAAGCCCUUCGGGGAAAGAUUUAUCGCCAUUGGAUGGGCCCGCGUCGGAUUAGCUAGUUGGUGAGGUAACGGCUCACCAAGGCAACGAUCCGUAGCUGGUCUGAGAGGAUGAUCAGCCACACUGGGACUGAGACACGGCCUAGACUCCUACGGGAGGCAG
rnacentral:rRNA from 1 species